ACUAGACAAUCGCUGAAUUUUUUAAUUUAGAGGAAAGUCCGGGCUACACAGGGCGACGUGCUAGCUAACAGCUAGGAGGCGUAAGCCUACGACCAGUGCAACAGAAAGUAAACCGCCAUUUAUGGUAAGGGUGAAAUGGUGAGGUAAGAGCUCACCGCAUGACUGGCAACAGUUCAUGGCAAGGUAAACUCCACGUGUAGCAAGACCAAAUAGGUAUCCAAUUAGGUUGCCCGCCUAGGAUACGGGUAGGUUGCUCGAGCACAUCAGUGAUGAUGUGCCCAGAUGAAUGAUUGUCCACGACAGAACCCGGCUUAUCGGUUUACC
rnacentral:RNase_P_RNA from 1 species